CAAGUGAUAAUUUAAUAAAAAUAUAGAUCUUGGGCAUCUACAAUUGCGAUCAACUUCUCAUCACUUGA
rnacentral:tRNA from 1 species